UUGGAGGGCAAGUCUGGUGCCAGCAGCCGCGGUAAUUCCAGCUCCAAUAGCGUAUAUUAAAGUUGUUGCAGUUAAAAAGCUCGUAGUUGAAUUUCGGGGUCAAUAGGUUGGUCGUGCCAAUGGUAUGUACUGGCUUUAUUGAUUCCUACCUCUUGACGAACUGUGAUGCCAUUAAUUUGGUGUUGCAGGAAAUCAGGACUGUUACCUUGAAAAAAUUAGAGUGUUUAAAGCAGGCUUACGCUUGAAUACAUUAGCAUGGAAUAAUGAAAUAGGACGUUUGAACCUAUUUUGUUGGUUUCUAGGAUCGACGUAAUGAUUAAUAGGGAUAGUUGGGGGCACUAGUUUUCAAUUGUCAGAGGUGAGAUUCUUGGAUUUAUCGAAGACUAACUACUGCGAAAGCAUUUGCCAAGGAUGUUUUCAUUAAUCAAGAACGAAAGUUAGGGGAUCGAAGACGAUCAGAUACCGUCGUAGUCUUAACCAUAAACUAUGCCGACUAGGGAUCGGAUGAUGUUAAUUUUUUAAUGACUCAUUCGGCGCCUUACGGGAAACCAAAGUGUUUGGGUUC
rnacentral:rRNA from 1 species